rnacentral:rRNA from 1 species
UAGUCCAUGCUGUAAACGAUGUCUACUAGCUGUUGGAUUCCUAGAGGAUUUAGUGGCGCAGUUAACGCACUAAGUAGACCGCCUGGGGAGUACGGCCGCAAGGUUAAAACUCAAAUGAAUUGACGGGGGCCCGCACAAGCGGUGGAGCAUGUGGUUUAAUUCGACGCAACGCGAAGAACCUUACCAGGCCUUGACAUCCCGAGAAGAAGCCAGAGAUGGUUUUAUGCCUCGGGAACUCUAAGACAGGUGCUGCAUGGCUGUCGUCAGCUCGUGUUGUGAAAUGUUGGGUUAAGUCCCGCAACGAGCGCAACCCUUAUCCUUGUUUGCCAGCACGUAAUGGUGGGAACUCCAGGGAGACUGCCGGUGAUAAACCGGAGGAAGGUGGGGACGACGUCAAGCCAUCACGGCCCUUACGAGUAGGGCUACACACGUGCUACAAUGGUGCAUACAGAGGGCAGCGAGACCGCGAGGUGGAGCGAAUCCCAGAAAGUGCAUCGUAGUCCGGAUUGG